UUAGCAGAAUUUACCCCGUUUAUCUAGAACUCAGGUUAAUUAAGGCCUGGGUCAAAAAUGAUUUUCGCCUCCAGUGCCCUCCUAGCAAGGUUCGCGAAAUUCGCGUGGACUGCGCGAGUAACCAUAGUUACUUGGAAUCAAGAUCGCGUAGUUCGUGAACGGCAUCCGCCAUUUUGAAGUGUCGGCUUUGCACUGGUUUUUCCCAUCUUCGCUGGUGAAUCCGACAAUCUAGAGGAAGACAUCAAAAGAAGGCUUUUGAAUGCUUUGGAAACAAUUUCUCCAAGAAGCAGAUGAAUUUACUGACAAAAAUAAUCCCCCAAAGCAGUUGUUAGAUGUAUUGUCUUCCCCUUAAAACUCCAUUAUUAAGGAAAUGGGCUGCUUUUGAAGCUGCACACCUAUUAUGGUUGGGAUGUUUUUAUGUGUGAGUGCCUGCAUAAUGUGAGCCUCCUUCAUUACCUCUGUGGUGUCCUGCAUCAGAGACUGUUUUUCCACAACCUUUACCAGUAUAUCAAAUCGUGUGUACUGUCUCAGAAGGCAUCGACCAUAGGAUCCUUCUCCCAGUAUUAUAUUCUCUCCAUUGGUUGGAAGAAGUUCAGUAUGAUUGAUUAAGUUUACAGUGGAUUAUUUGGUACUUGCUUUCCUCUUAAAAGACUGGAAAAUGAAGGCAAAUAUAUUAUAGAGAGUGUGCUUAAAUAAAUGCUAGAUUGCAACACAAGUAAAGGUGAAGAUUGUUGAUCUCAUUGUUUGGCAUGCAAAUUACUGCAAAGUAACUAGAAACAUUACUCCUCCUCCAGAUGGACUAGACAUUAGCAUUGGAUUUUAUUUUUUUCUUGGCGUGCUCUCC